UACGGGGGGAGCAAGCGUUGUUCGGAUUUACUGGGCGUAAAGGGCGCGUAGGCGGCGUAACAAGUCACUUGUGAAAUCUCCGGGCUUAACCCGGAGCGGCCAAGUGAUACUGUUGUGCUAGAGUGCGGAAGGGGCUACUGGAAUUCCUGGUGUAGCGGUGAAAUGCGUAGAUAUCAGGAGGAACACCGGUGGUGUAGACGGCUUUCUGGACCGUAACUGACGCUGAGACACGAAAGCGUGGGUAGCAAACAGG
rnacentral:rRNA from 1 species